ACAUAUGUAUAUGUACUGUCUCCAGUCCGUCAUGGCUGGGGUGACCAGUGAAAGGGACCACGCUGUGGAUACGUAGCAGGUGGGUGUUUCGCCUGUCUUUCUGUACCCAGGUGGACAAACCGCUUACAAAUGUGUGUGUGUGUGUGUGUGUGUGUUAGUUUGACCAGCGUGUUGGCCUUGUGACGUAGCUGUUUGUAAAACCAGCUAUGAUUCGUCUGGGGCCUCCGCGUUGUCGGCUUGCACGCGUAGCGGUCUCCUUUCCUGUCUCUCUCUCAUUUACACUGGGGUGCCUAUCUUAUCUGAUGCUCUGAUGGUAUGCUCGUGGCAUGUGGUCUGCUGAGUUUAUGGUUUUAUGUGUGUGCGAAGGCAGGCCCGGUCACUUGUUCAAGCCAAGAGCGAUAAGGCAGUGCUGUGGUUCUAGAUUUGGCUUGUGUGCCGCCACAGUGCGAGGUUUAAUGAGAAGUGUGUGCGUCUGUGUAUUUACGUGUAUAUGUGUGUCUUUAUACGUGGUGGCUGCUGUUGAUGUUUUAUCAACCACGACCACAAACACGACGGCCACUUCCGCCCCAAGCUGUUUAUAUGUUGUUGCACUAUAUUACACUGUUUAAGUAGCCUGGUCAGGUGUGUCCCUUGCUGGACAUUGCUUGGCUAGACCUACUGCCCUCGCAUGCACCUGGUUGGCUUUAACCGGUCAGCUGGACUGCAUGUACGUCGCUCAGCGGUUUCUCCCUGAGUAGGACUGAUCACGCUUUUGUGUGAUGGCUUCUGCUGUUGCCAAGAGCAAAAUAACUGUACAACUUUGAGCGGUGGAUCACUCGGCUCGUGUGUCGAUGAAGAGCGCAGCCAACUGUGUGAAUUAAUGUGAAUUGCAGACUGCUUUGAACAUCGACAACUUGAACGCACAUUGCGGCCAUGGGCUCGCCUAUGGCCACGUCUGACCGAGGGUCGGCUUACAAACUAUCACGACGCCCAACAAGUCGUGGAUUGGAAGGACUUGCCAGCCAGCAUGACUUCUUCACUAGCGCCUGUUUGUGUGAUCUCGCGCAUAAGUGGAGUGCUGCAGCAAUGGCGCCUUCUCAAGGUAUCUCCAACGGCUAGUUUGCUCCCCUACGUAAGGAAGCAGUGCUGGUGUGUGUGUGUGUUUGCUGUAUACACGAUAUUGCACUGAGGAGUAGGCUGGUGCAACUGCUGCACACGGGUCGUGGCUUAAUGUUGCCGUUUACUUGUAUAUCUAUAUGUUUAUGAUGAUGUGACCCUGUGCGCAUGCUUUACAUAUAUGGUGUUGCAUCCAGCUGCUCGAUGUGAGAACAGCACAUGACGUUUCCUUCUGGGUGGAUAAACUGUUGUGAGUUGCUUGGCUAGGUGAACAAGCUGUGUGUGUGCUGCUAGCAUCACUUUAGUUGGGCUAUGGUGCCCUAGUGUGGUGUGUGCAUGCGUGCGUCGGCUUAUUUUCGCCCGCCUUAGACCCCUUUGCCUGACCUCGGAUUAGGCGUGAUUACCCGCUGAACUUAAGCAUA
rnacentral:misc_RNA from 1 species